UACCGAGCAAUUUAGACAAAGCAAUAGACAAUGGGAAUUCUGCUGCCAAUACACGUCCAGAACAGUCAUAUGAAAUCUCUCCAUACAAACAAUCAGAUGAUGAAAACGAAGAAGAUGACGAUGCUAUGCUAAAUAGUAAAUUUGUUCCAUCAUGGUCAAGUAAAAAUUGCCUGGCUCUGGCUGUCUCUUGCCGGAAUAGAGCAGACCCUGGGGCGAUCUUCCCCCGAGAAAGCUUUUGCAGCAUAUCUGAAGUUCUCUUGCCUCGGAAGCAUAAGCUAAACUACAAUGGAAUGCGCUAAACUCUAUUCAAUGUAUUCUUCGCUCAACUAGUCGAACAGCUUUUGGUGAAGAAGAGGUAACAGUUGCACUCUGUCUGCAUGUUACCGUUUUCAAAAGACUAUUAGAGCAGGCGAUCCCUCCCAGCAAAUUUGUAGCUGAAACUUGUAGAAUUGUUGCGAUGUAUAGGAUUCUCUUGUAACUGUUAUUGAGCUAACAUCAUGGAUACUUUGGUCAACACUGACAUUAUUUUAACAGUUAAAGCUAUGUGUAGGAGUUCUUUAACAUUAAUCCUAGAUUUAUUUAACUAGCGACCUAAAAUCCCAGGGGGUAAAGUUCCCACUGGGACCUCUUUAAAUUAAUAUUUGAACUCUAACAAUGACUCCCACAUGGAGAAAAUUAAUAUGAUAGCCAUAAUUACAACUUACAAAGCAAUUUGAAACUUUGUAUUCUAUGGCCAGGCCCGUUUGGUAACGUUUUAAGGAGUUGUUUUCAUUUUCAUAGAACAAAAAUGAGGC